AUGUGACUCUGAUGCUUUAGGCAUGUGUUUUCUUGUCUCGUGGUGACUCUGGUCUCCUGAUGACAGGAGCAGACACACUGACAACAGUACGGGGUCACGUGCCCCCUACUUAUUUUCAUUUUUUCUUAAGUAGCAUAAAUUAAUUUGAUUAAUUGUUAGUUUACUGAAGAAAAUUGAAAAUGUGUCCCCAUCAAAAUUUUUUUUUACUGUUUCUACUGUUGUGCCCCCGAUUAGAAACGUUUUUAGAUCCGCUCAUGCCUGAUGAUUAUUCUUUCUCUGACCUUUUUUUAUUUUUUGAGUUGGUGCUUGACCACGCUCCUUUGAGCUCGGGAGAAUGCUUUGUCGUAUAUUUUACUCCCCUGGUUCCAAAACAGUAAAAU
rnacentral:lncRNA from 1 species